GAUGAACGCUGGCGGCCUGCCUAAUACAUGCCAGUCGAGCGAACAGAUGAGGAGCUUGCUCCUCUGACGUUAGCGGCGGACGGGUGAGUAACACGUGGAUAACCUACCUAUAAGACUGGGAUAACUUCGGGAAACCGGAGCUAAUACCGGAUAAUAUAUUGAACCGCAUGGUUCAAUAGUGAAAGACGGUUUUGCUGUCACUUAUAGAUGGAUCCGCGCCGCAUUAGCUAGUUGGUAAGGUAACGGCUUACCAAGGCAACGAUGCGUAGCCGACCUGAGAGGGUGAUCGGCCACACUGGAACUGAGACACGGUCCAGACUCCUACGGGAGGCAGCAGUAGGGAAUCUUCCGCAAUGGGCGAAAGCCUGACGGAGCAACGCCGCGUGAGUGAUGAAGGUCUUCGGAUCGUAAAACUCUGUUAUUAGGGAAGAACAAAUGUGUAAGUAACUAUGCACGUCUUGACGGUACCUAAUCAGAAAGCCACGGCUAACUACGUG
rnacentral:rRNA from 1 species